UGGGGAAUAUUGGACAAUGGGCGAAAGCCUGAUCAAGCAAUGCCGCGUGAGUGAUGAAGGCCUUAGGGUUGUAAAGCUCUUUUACCCGGGAUGAUAAUGACAGUACCGGGAGAAUAAGCCCCGGCUAACUGCGUGCCAGCAGCCGCGGUAAUACGGAGGGGGCUAGCGUUGUUCGGAAUUACUGGGCGUAAAGCGCGCGUAGGCGGCUUUGUAAGUUAGAGGUGAAAGCCCGGAGCUCAACUCCGGAACUGCCUUUAAGACUGCAUCGCUAGAAUCGUGGAGAGGUGAGUGGAAUUCCGAGUGUAGCGGUGAAAUGCGUAGAUAUCUGGAGGAACACCGGUGGCGAAGGCGGCAUCCUGGACCGGCAUUGACGCUGAGGCGCGAAAGCCAGGGGAGCAAA
rnacentral:rRNA from 1 species